UCUGAUAAACAAAGAGUCAAUUAGGCGUAGAGAGUUGGGAGAGGGAAAAAUCUGAGAAAUCAAACAUAAAUUUAUGCCACAUUUAUGUUUAAAAAAAAAAAAAAACUGGAAAAAUUGUGCCUUUUCCCUAAAGCCAUUAAAGUAACCGUGUACAACGUUUGGUUUUUAGGUAAUUAACGUUGCUUUUCCCUUACUGCUUAUAAGUACCAUCCCUUAACCAAGCUGGAAAAGCCUUCACAAACAAUUUCAUUUUGCAAACCACGCACCUGUGUCUUUCAAAAAACCACUGACAAUCCCAAGGCCAAUUGACUAUGCUAACAACAAACACAACAUUUUGUACACUGGGCAAUUACAAAUUUUGCCCAUUACAUAUUCCUAUCUUCUCCUAGUCUCUGUAUUUUAUCCCCCUCUCCUGCACUCUAUCCUUUAUUUCUUGCAACACAAUUUUUUCCCUAUUUGUAAGCAAAGCCUCAAAGCAAAACAUUCACAAGGCACUUUGAGAAGAAAUAAAGAGCCAGAGAGAGAAGUCUGAGGGCUGCCAACAUUGUCAAGCCAACACCCACCUUCAGUUGGCAUCCCAUCACUAUAAUACUGCCGUCACCACAUCGGUUCCUUCUCAGGUGAUUUUUUUUAAAAUUAAAGUCUAAAUUUCCACUAAAUCUGUACCAAUUCUGAGUUUCUAAUGAUAUCAUUCAAUUUACCACCUAAGCAAGAGUGAAUGGGUGAUUUGUUGUCCCUUUUAUAUAUCAACCUGUUUAGUCCAUAACUUAAAGAGUCCCAAAGUUCUCCAAAUCGAAAACUUUUGUUUAGAGGGAGUUCAAAAUAUAGAGAACCAAUCAUGAGAGCAGUGCUACAUUGGCUGCAAGUUAGGAAUGCUAUGUGAUAUAUUGGACUGAACUUAAUUGAACUACUGGUGUGGUUAUCAGAGAACUAAGUCUUUAUGGUGAGCAUCGCCCCUAUUGCCACGAGAGUAUAAUCGGAUGCAUGUGUGUGUCUGCAUGCGUGUGCACCUGUGUGUGGCAGGGGCAUGUUGUAAAACACAAGUCAAUCUCAGUCCCUUGCAAAACUCAUUUCUAUUGUGCAUGAUACUUGGUUUGGGUUGACAUUGUUUAGAUAUCAUAAAUAUGUAAAUGAUGGUUCUACUAAA